rnacentral:rRNA from 1 species
CAGUCGCCACGGUAAUACAGAGGGUGCGAGCGUUAAUCGGAUUUACUGGGCGUAAAGCGUGCGUAGGCGGCUAAUUGAGUCGGAUGUGAAAUCCCCGAGCUUAACUUGGGAAUUGCAUUCGAUACUGGUUAGCUAGAGUGUGGGAGAGGAUGGUAGAAUUCCAGGUGUAGCGGUGAAAUGCGUAGAGAUCUGGAGGAAUACCGAUGGCGAAGGCAACCAUCUGGCCUAACACUGACGCUGAGGUACGAAAGCAUGGGGAGCAAACAGGAUUAGAUACCCCAGUAGUCCCUGUCUCUUAUAC